AAACAGAUCACUUGGGGAUCUUCUAAAAUGCAGAUUCUGAUUCAGGAAAUCUGGGUUGAAUCUGAUAUGCUGAAUUUCUAAUAAACUCCCAGAUGAUGCUUAU
rnacentral:miRNA from 1 species